rnacentral:rRNA from 1 species
AGAGUUUGAUCAUGGCUCAGAAUCAACGCUGGCGGCGUGCCUCAGACAUGCAAGUCGAACGCGAAAGUCCCCUUCGGGGGAUAAGUAGAGUGGCGCACGGGUGAGUAACACGUAGGUAAUCUACCUUCGGGUGGGGAAUAACCCAGGGAAACUUGGGCUAAUACCGCAUAAUGCAGCGGCACCACAUGGUGACAGUUGUUAAAGCGGGGGAUCUUCGGAUCUCGCGCCUGAAGAGGAGCCUGCGGCAGAUUAGCUAGUUGGUAAGGUAACGGCUUACCAAGGCGACGAUCUGUAGCCGGCCUGAGAGGGCGGUCGGCCACACUGACACUGACAUACGGGUCAGACUCCUACGGGAGGCAGCAGUCGGGAAUUUUGGGCAAUGGGCGAAAGCCUGACCCAGCAACGCCGCGUGAAGGAUGAAAUCCCUCGGGAUGUAAACUUCGCAAGAAUGGGAAGAAUUAGUAGGGGUUAAUACCCCCUAUGAUGACGGUACCAUUUGUAAGCUCCGGCUAACUCCGUGCCAGCAGCCGCGGUAAUACGGGGGGAGCAAGCGUUGUUCGGAUUUACUGGGCGUAAAGGGCGCGUAGGCGGCCAGCACAAGUCGGUUGUGAAAUCUCCGGGCUUAACUCGGAAAGGUCAACCGAUACUGUGCGGCUAGAGUGCGGAAGGGGCAACUGGAAUUCUCGGUGUAGCGGUGAAAUGCGUAGAUAUCAAGAGGAACACCUGCGGCGAAGGCGGGUUGCUGGGCCGACACUGACGCUGAAGUGCGAAAGCCAGGGGAGCGAACGGGAUUAGAUACCCCAGUAGUCC